rnacentral:rRNA from 1 species
UACGUAGGGUGCAGGCGUAAUCGGAAUUACUGGGCGUAAAGCGUGCGCAGGCGGUCUUUUAAGUCAGAUGUGAAAUCCCCGGGCUUAACCUGGGAACUGCGUUUGAAACUGGAAGGCUUGAGUGUGGCAGAGGGGGGUGGAAUUCCACGUGUAGCAGUGAAAUGCGUAGAGAUGUGGAGGAACACCGAUGGCGAAGGCAGCCCCCUGGGCUAACACUGACGCUCAUGCACGAAAGGCGUGGGGAGCAAACAGG